GAUGAAGAACGUAGCGAAAUGCGAUAAGUAAUGUGAAUUGCAGAAUUCAGUGAAUCAUCGAGUCUUUGAACGCACAUUGCGCCUCCUGGUACUCCGGGGGGCAUGCCUGUCCGAGCGUCAUUGCUGCCCUCAAGCACGGCUUGUGUGUUGGGCCCCCGUCCCCGGUUUCCCCCGGGGACGGGCCCGAAAGGCAGCGGCGGCACCGCGUCCGGUCCUCGAGCGUAUGGGGCUUUGUCACCCGCUCUGUAGGCCCGGCCGGCGCCAGCCGACACCCAACUUUAUUUCUAAGGUUGACCUCGGAUCAGGUAGGGAUACCCGCUGAACUUAAGCAUAUCAAUAAGCGGAGGA
rnacentral:misc_RNA from 1 species